CUUACCGUAGGACGCAGCCAAUAAGGUUGAACGUUACAUAAAUGAACAAGAAGAAGAAGAAGAAGAAGAAGAAUCGCUUUGUGAACUAAAUCUCAGAUUGGAAUACCCAUUGCUAGACCGAUUGAUGUCUGCUGUUGGAAUUUGCAAGGUUGAAGAAUAUCCUAACUCCACAGCAGCACCAUGUUGCGGUAAAUGAUAGCGGGGAACUCACCAGAUGUUAAUUCAUUGGAGAGUUCUGAAUAAUCAUUGAGAAAACCAUAACCUUUCCUGUCAGAUUAUUGUCAAUACCACUCAAGGAUCAACUCUCCUCCUGUGUGACAAGUUAUACCAACCUUGUGUGAAUACCAACAAGGUCACACUUAGAAUAUUGUGGAGAUUUAAGGAUUGGAGCUAAUGCAGAAAACAAGAGGACCAGUUUUACAAUUAUGAGGAGAGUCACAAAACUGAGCUGAUUUAUUUCAGUAGGAAGAAGACUGAAGACAGAUCUAGACGUGAUGGGAGUGGGAUAUGCCCAAAUAGAUGUGAUUUUAUGCUUCUUUCUAAAGCAAUCCUUUGGGAUUGAGGGCGAUUUACUGCCACUCUGGUUCUGUGCACACUCUGGUGGCUGAUAAGGCCAAUAUUGGAACCACAGACUAUUCCACAGGGCAUAGAGUUUAUUGUCAUGUAUCCCAGAUAGGACAAUGAAAUUCUUGCUUUGCUUCAGCACAACAGAAUAUUGCAAGCAUAAAUAAUACAGAACAGAUCAGUGUGUCCAUAUACCAGUGAAUAUUAUGCACAUACACACAUAAAUAAGCAUAUAAAGUGCAGUAGGCUAAUUAAAGUUCAGAUUUUGUUUGAGUUUAAUUUAAUAGUCUGAUGGCUGUGGGGAAGCAGCUAUUCCUGAACCUGGUUGUUGCAGAUUUCAGGCUCCUGUACCUUCUACCUGAAGGCAGUGGAGAGAAGAGUGUGUGGCCAGGAUGGUGUGGGUCCUAGAUGAUGCUGCCAGCCUUUUUGAGGCAGUGACUGUGGUAGAUCCCCUCGAUGGUAGGGAGGUCAAAGCCGAUGAUGGACUGGGCAGUGUUUACAACUUUUUCAGUCUUUUCCGCUCCUGGGCGCACAAGUUGCCGAACCAAUCCAUGAUGCAAGCGGUCAGCCUGCUCUCUACUGUGCACCUGUAGAAGUUCGAGAGAGUCCUCCUCGACAUACCGACUCUCCGUAAUCUUCUCAGGAAGUAGAGGCGCUGAUGUGCUUUCUUUAUAAUUGCUCAGUUCUGGGACCAGGAGAGAUCUUCGGAAAAAUGCACGCCCAGGAAUUUGAAGCUCUUGACCCUUUCCACCAUUGACCCGUUGAUAUAAACGGGACUGUGGGUCCCCAUCCUACCCCUUCCAAAGUCCACAAUCAGUUCCUUGGUUUUGCUGGUGUUGAGAGCCAGGUUAUUGUGCUGGCAUCAUUUGAUCAGGCGGUCGAUCUCACUUCUAUACUCUGACUCGUCUCCAUCAGUGAUAUUUCCCACAAAAGUGGUGUCGUCGGUGAACUUGAUGAUGGAGUUCACACUGUGUCCAGCUUACACAGUUAUGAGUAUAGAGUGAGGACAGCAGGGGGCUGAGCACGCAGCCUUGAGGUGCUCCCGUGCUGAUUGUUAUCGAGCCUGACACAUUUCCACCAAUGCGAACAGACUGGUGUGUGAAUGAGGAAGUCAAGGAUCCAAUUACUACAAUGUGGAAACAGGCCCUUCGGCCCAACUUGCCCACACCAGCCAAAAUGUCCCAGCUACAUUAGUCCCACCUGUCACCAUUUGAUCCAUAUCCCUCCAAACCUGUCCAUUCCAUGUACAUGUCGAACUGUUUCUUAAAUGUUGGGAUAGUCCCUGCCUCAACUACCUCCUCUGGCAGCUUGUUCCAUACAUCCACUACCCUUUGUGUGAAAAUGUUACCCCUCAGAUUCCUAUUAAAUAUUUUCCCCUUCAUCUUAAACCUAUGUCCUCUGGUCCUCGAUUCACCUACUCUGGGCAAUUGACACUAUGGGUCUACCCAAUCUAUUCUUCUCAUGGUCUUAUCCACCUCUAUAAGAUCACCCCUCAUUCUCCUGCGCUCCAAGAAAUAGAGCCCCAGCCUACUCAAUAUCUCUGUCUAUAGCUCAGACCCUCUAGUCCUGGCAACAUCCUUGUAAAUCUUCUCUAUACCCUUUCCAGCUUGACAACAUCUUGUGGUACUUUUUAGUUUUUUUGCUGUCUUUUUAAAAAAUUGUAGAAUUUAUGUGCAAUUUAUGUUUGUGUAUCUGAGUUUAUAUGCCCGUGUUGCUGCUGC